GAACGCUGGCGGCGUGCUUAAUACAUGCAAGUCGAGCGGACCGACGGGAGCUUGCUCCCUUAGGUCAGCGGCGGACGGGUGAGUAACACGUGGGUAACCUGCCUGUAAGACUGGGAUAACUCCGGGAAACCGGGGCUAAUACCGGAUGCUUGAUUGAACCGCAUGGUUCAAUCAUAAAAGGUGGCUUUUAGCUACCACUUACAGAUGGACCCGCGGCGCAUUAGCUAGUUGGUGAGGUAACGGCUCACCAAGGCGACGAUGCGUAGCCGACCUGAGAGGGUGAUCGGCCACACUGGGACUGAGACACGGCCCAGACUCCUACGGGAGGCAGCAGUAGGGAAUCUUCCGCAAUGGACGAAAGUCUGACGGAGCAACGCCGCGUGAGUGAUGAAGGUUUUCGGAUCGUAAAACUCUGUUGUUAGGGAAGAACAAGUACCGUUCGAAUAGGGCGGUACCUUGACGGUACCUAACCAGAAAGCCACGGCUAACUACGUGCCAGCAGCCGCGGUAAUACGUAGGUGGCAAGCGUUGUCCGGAAUUAUUGGGCGUAAAGCGCGCGCAGGCGGUUUCUUAAGUCUGAUGUGAAAGCCCCCGGCUCAACCGGGGAGGGUCAUUGGAAACUGGGGAACUUGAGUGCAGAAGAGGAGAGUGGAAUUCCACGUGUAGCGGUGAAAUGCGUAGAGAUGUGGAGGAACACCAGUGGCGAAGGCGACUCUCUGGUCUGUAACUGACGCUGAGGCGCGAAAGCGUGGGGAGCGAACAGGAUUAGAUACCCUGGUAGUCCACGCCGUAAACGAUGAGUGCUAAGUGUUAGAGGGUUUCCGCCCUUUAGUGCUGCAGCAAACGCAUUAAGCACUCCGCCUGGGGAGUACGGUCGCAAGACUGAAACUCAAAGGAAUUGACGGGGGCCCGCACAAGCGGUGGAGCAUGUGGUUUAAUUCGAAGCAACGCGAAGAACCUUACCAGGUCUUGACAUCCUCUGACAACCCUAGAGAUAGGGCUUCCCCUUCGGGGGCAGAGUGACAGGUGGUGCAUGGUUGUCGUCAGCUCGUGUCGUGAGAUGUUGGGUUAAGUCCCGCAACGAGCGCAACCCUUGAUCUUAGUUGCCAGCAUUCAGUUGGGCACUCUAAGGUGACUGCCGGUGACAAACCGGAGGAAGGUGGGGAUGACGUCAAAUCAUCAUGCCCCUUAUGACCUGGGCUACACACGUGCUACAAUGGGCAGAACAAAGGGCAGCGAAGCCGCGAGGCUAAGCCAAUCCCACAAAUCUGUUCUCAGUUCGGAUCGCAGUCUGCAACUCGACUGCGUGAAGCUGGAAUCGCUAGUAAUCGCGGAUCAGCAUG
rnacentral:rRNA from 1 species